UACGGAGGGUGCAAACGUUGCUCGGAAUCAUUGGGCGUAAAGCGCACGUAGGCGGCUCGAUGAGUCGGAUGUGAAAUGCCUCGGCUCAACCGAGGACGUGCAUUCGAAACUGCCGAGCUUGAGUAUGGAAGAGGGUCGCGGAAUUCCCGGUGUAGAGGUGAAAGUCGUAGAUAUCGGGAGGAACACCAGUGGCGAAGGCGGCGACCUGGGCCAAUACUGACGCUGAGGUGCGAAAGCGUGGGGAGCAAACAGG
rnacentral:rRNA from 1 species